rnacentral:rRNA from 1 species
UACAGAGGGGGCAAGCGUUGUUCGGAAUUACUGGGCGUAAAAGGGCGCGUAGGCGGCCUGCUAAGUCGAACGUGAAAUCCCCGGGCUCAACCCGGGAACUGCGUCCGAUACUGGCGGGCUUGAAUCCGGGAGAGGGAUGUGGAAUUCCAGGUGUAGCGGUGAAAUGCGUAGAUAUCUGGAGGAACACCGGUGGCGAAGGCGGCAUCCUGGACCGGUAUUGACGCUGAGGCGCGAAAGCUAGGGGAGCAAACGGG